UCCUUUCGGGUACAUCUGCCGAAACCUUAGUGGAUUGAUUAGGCGACUCUAAACAAGUAUAAUCCUCGGGGUUUGCCCCUGAGCACUAGCCAUCUCUUGUGGAUGGCGACAUUACCAGUGUGCGGGAACAUUCAAAUUUGUUGGAUAACCCGCAGCCACAAUGUGUGUCCCACAGGCUAAAUGGUAAUGGGCGUAGCUGCUAGGCACCUAUGCUUUAGAUAUAGUCGGUCCCCAGAUAUCUCUGGGAAACUAGUGGAUUUGGUUCCACAAGCGAGUAAACGUUCCGUAGGUGAACCUGCGGAAGGAUCAUUAC
rnacentral:rRNA from 1 species